rnacentral:sRNA from 1 species
GGUGGCCCUGGGGUCCAGCUCUGCAUCACUGAUGUACUACCUAUCCUGGCAAAGAUGCUUCAUGGCCACAAGGCAGAGCCCUUGCAUCUGUGCCACCGGCUGGACAAGGAAACCACAGGUGUAAUGGUGUUGGCUUGGGACAAGGACAUGGCACAUCAAGUCCAAGAGUUGUUUAGAACCCGUCAGGUGGUGAAGAAGUACUGACGGAGUCUUGCUGUGUCUCCCAGGCUGGAGUGCAGUGGCAUAAUCUUGGCCCACUGCAACCUCCACCUCCUGGAUUCAAGCGAUUCUCAUGCCUCAGCCUCCCAAGUAGCUGGAAUUACAGGCACGCGUCACCACGCCUGGCUGAUUUUUUUUUUGUAUUUUUAGUAGAGAUGGGGUUUCACCAUGUUGGCCAGGCUGGUCUUGAACUCCUGACCUGAAGUGAUCCACCCGCCUUGGCCUCCCAAAGUAUUGGGAUUACAUGUGUGAGCCACUGCGCCUGUCCCCUGUGACUUCUUCGGGGCCAUCACUGUGCAUGUCCCCAUGCCCUCAGCAGGAGUCGUGGACAUCCCCAUUGUGGAGAA